CAGCAGCUUGUUGAAGGUGAAGAAAGUUGUAACUUAAAAGUUUUUUUAACUGCAAUAUUGAAAACUAUAAGAAAAACUGACUCCAUCCUUUUCCAUCAAGUACAACCACAAUUAUAUGUGAACUAGUAAAUUUCCUUGCGCUACGCGCGAUUAUUAAAAGAAAACUAACAACAACAACAACAACUACCCAGUAUACUCCCACCAGGUGGGUUUUGGGGAAGGUAAUAUGUAGACAGCCUUACCCCUACCCAAAAGGGUAGAGAGGCUGCUUCCA
rnacentral:lncRNA from 1 species